GCUUCAUCCAGCAGCAUGUUUUAAAAUCGGGAUGAUACAGAGAUUAGCGUGGCCCCUCACACAAGAGUGACAUGUCAAUUUGUAAAGCAUUUGAUAUUUUU
ensembl:snRNA U6 U6 spliceosomal RNA